ACAUUGGUGGUUCAGUGGUAGAAUUAUUGCUUUUUAUGCAGGAGACUUGGGUUCAAUCCCGGCUACUGUA
rnacentral:tRNA from 1 species